CUCCAAGAUAGAGACUCUUGAAUGGAAGCCUUCGUCAUCAAUGACAGAUGGAUCCACUCUUUGCUGAAGAGGGGGGCGGUAGGAAAUUGGAUCAAAUAUGCCUUUCUCCCAACCUUUAAAGCUUUCUUCUCUGCUUCCUUGUGAAGUUGGUAACGCUUCUUCAAAUCGGGAAUCAAACCCAAUAAACACCUCUCCUUUGCUUGUUCUUCGCUGGUGAUGAGAUCUUCAUCCUCUUCAAUAGCUUUGUCCACAUUGUCCAGCCAAUUUUCAAAAUUUUCAACAUGAGCAUGUUUCUCAUUUCCUCGCCUCUUAGCUUCAUCAACAGACUUCCCCAAACCGUCUCUCUGAUUUUUCAGCUCCUCGACCUGAUUCUUGAGUUUAUCAACCUUGUUUCCGCAAUUGAAAGCGUAACUGAGGUGUCGCUUGAUAGGGACCAAAGUGUACUCGACAAUCAUCGGAACAAUAGCAAGAAUGGUAUCCAGGGCCAUUUCCUAUUUUGUUUCUUUCUUUUUUUGUGGUGGGUAACAACAGAUGCAAGCAGCAAGAACAGUGAAUACAACAAAUUGUAAGCAGAAAAGGGGAGAAAAAAGAAAGUGCAACGAAAUUCAAGGAUAGAUGAGAAGGGCAACAGAGCUAGAGAAUUUUUCGAAAUCAAGAACACAGAAUACAAAGGAAAGUGAAUGCUAUUUGACGCAUGAGCAGCAGAAAGAAAGAAGGUAACAGAUGGAGAGAAAAGGGCAAGUUGUGCAUAUGCGGUGGUGAAACAGUAGAGGAGCCAG
rnacentral:misc_RNA from 1 species